rnacentral:rRNA from 1 species
GGCGGUAGGCUUAACACAUGCAAGUCGUGCGAGAAAGUAUCUUCGGAUAUGAGUAGAGCGGCGGACGGGUGAGUAACGCGUAGGAAUCUACCUAGUAGAAGGGGAUAGCCCGGGGAAACCCGGAUUAAUACCGUAUACCUCCUUCGGGAGAAAGAAGGCCUCUCUUUGAAGCUUUCGCUACUAGAUGAGCCUGCGUAAGAUUAGCUUGUUGGUGAGGUAAAGGCUCACCAAGGCGACGAUCUUUAGCUGGUCUGAGAGGACGAUCAGCCACAUUGGGACUGAGACACGGCCCAGACUCCUACGGGAGGCAGCAGUGGGGAAUAUUGGACAAUGGGCGCAAGCCUGAUCCAGCCAUACCGCGUGUGUGAAGAAGGCCUUCGGGUUGUAAAGCACUUUAAGCAGGGAGAAAAAGUUAUAAGUUAAUACCUUAUAACCCUGAUGUUACCUGCAGAAUAAGCACCGGCUAAUUCCGUGCCAGCAGCCGCGGUAAUACGGAAGGUGCAAGCGUUAAUCGGAAUUACUGGGCGUAAAGCGCGCGUAGGUGGUUUGUUAAGUUGGAUGUGAAAGCCCUGGGCUCAACCUAGGAACUGCAUCCAAAACUAACUCACUAGAGUACGAUAGAGGGAGGUAGAAUUCAUAGUGUAGCGGUGGAAUGCGUAGAUA